rnacentral:misc_RNA from 1 species
UAAUCUCACUCAUCUGACUCUUGUCAGCAUGUUGUGGAUUUGGAUGCUGCUGUGUCUGACAGCUCAUCUGAAAUUUCUGAGUGCAUCCUGUAUUGCGAUGUGUUUGGUGUGAUAAAUCUUCACCACAAUUGACUCCUUGGGGGUCACACUCGCUUGCUUCAUGGCUCUGUGCUUCUAAUCAUCCCCAAAGGGAUAAUAACUGACA